rnacentral:rRNA from 1 species
AUUGAACGCUGGCGGCAUGCCUUACAUAUGCAAGUCGAACGGUAACAGGUCUUCGGAUGCUGACGAGUGGCGAACGGGUGAGUAAUACAUCGGAACGUGCCCGAUCGUGGGGGAUAACGAAGCGAAAGCUUUGCUAAUACCGCAUAAGAUCCACGGAUGAAAGCAGGGGACCGCAAGGCCUUGCGCGAACGGAGCGGCCGAUGGCAGAUUAGGUAGUUGGUGGGAUAAAAGCUCACCAAGCCGACGGUCUGUAGCUGGUCUGAGAGGACGACCAGCCACACUGGGACUGGGACACGGCCCAGACUCCUACGGGAGGCAGCAGUGGGGAAUUUUGGACAAUGGGCGCAAGCCUGAUCCAGCAAUGCCGCGUGCAGGAAGAGGGCCUUCGGGUUGUAAACUGCUUUUGUACGGAACGAAAAGGUCUGGGUUAAUACCCUGGGCACAUGACGGUACCGUAAGAAUAAGCACCGGCUAACUACGUGCCAGCCGCCGCAGUAACAC